UUCCCCAGUUCCCGAUGGGUCCCGGCUCGGACGGACCGAUGGGCGGCAUGGGUGGCAUGGAGCCACACCACAUGAAUGGAUCAUUAGGGUCAGGCGACAUAGACGGACUUCCAAAAAAUUCUCCUAACAACAUAAGUGGCAUUAGCAAUCCUCCAGGCACCCCUCGAGAUGACGGCGAGCUAGGAGGGAACUUCCUCCACUCCUUUCAGAACGACAAUUAUUCUCCAAGCAUGACGAUGAGUGUGUGAUCCCCCCUUCUCCGAGACGCUGAGAGAGCGGGCAUUGCAGGCGGGAAGAUGCCAGAAAUUAUGCAAGAAGUGAGGUGUCAUUACCCAGGAGCUGGUGGGGAGGGCAUCUCCCUGCUCCCCUCAACCCCCUCCCACCCCAUCCACACCCCCUACCUUUCCCAAUUUUAGUUUCAUGCAAUAAAAAGGCCAAACUUUUUAUUCCAUAAAACAUGAAGGACAAAACUCUCAAAAAUGUAUUUCAAGUCAGUGACCAGAAAAAUCCCACCCUUUGCCCUUUCCCCAAAGGACCUUUUCUGUACAUGACACUUUUUUGUUGUUUUUUGUUUGGGGUUUUACCGUUGUUGGGAUUUUUUUAUUUGUUUUCAGGGGGGUUUUUUGGGGGAAAAUUUUUUUAAAUGGAAGCUUCUAGCAAGCCCCCACCCCAAUCAACCUCUAUGCUUUCUUCUUAAAAAAAAAAAAAAAGGAAAAAGGAAAAAAAGGAAAACCAGAAGCCCUGCUGUCUGUCUGUGCCCAAGCCCUUCCACCAGAAAAGCUAGUCUAGGUGUGAGAGCCCACAUUGUCUGUAGCCAUCAAAAAUAAUAAUAAUAAACUGGACAGUUUACAAUCGG
rnacentral:sRNA from 1 species